rnacentral:rRNA from 1 species
UACGGAGGGGGCUAGCGUUGUUCGGAAUUACUGGGCGUAAAGCGCACGUAGGCGGCUUUGUAAGUUAGAGGUGAAAGCCCGGGGCUCAACUCCGGAACUGCCUUUAAGACUGCAUCGCUAGAAUUGUGGAGAGGUAAGUGGAAUUCCGAGUGUAGAGGUGAAAUUCGUAGAUAUUCGGAAGAACACCAGUGGCGAAGGCGACUUACUGGACACAUAUUGACGCUGAGGUGCGAAAGCGUGGGGAGCGAAAGGG